CCCCAAUUAUUCAAUUUUUGAUGAAAUCAAACAAAGUUUAAUUUUGGACCCCGAUUUGGACCAACUUGAAAACUGGGCCAAUAAUCAAAAAUCAAAGUACAUUUUUAGAUUCAGCAUAUCAAAGAACCCCAAGGAUUCAAUUUUUGUUAAAAUCAAACUAAGUUUAAUUUUGGACCCUUUGGACCUUAAUGUAGACCAAUUUGAAAACGGGACCAAAAUUUAAGAAUCUACAUACACAGUUAGAUUCGGCAUAUC
rnacentral:lncRNA from 1 species